rnacentral:rRNA from 1 species
GUGGGGAAUAUUGGGCAAUGGGCGCAAGCCUGACCCAGCAACGCCGCGUGAGGGAAGAAGGCUUUCGGGUUGUAAACCUCUGUCCUUGGUGACGAAACAAAUGACGGUAGCCAAGGAGGAAGCCCCGGCUAACUACGUGCAAGCAGCCGCGGUAAUACGUAGGGGGCGAGCGUUGUCCGGAAUUACUGGGCGUAUAGGGUGCGUAGGUGGCCUUUUAAGUUGGAUGUGAAAUACCCUGGCUUAACUUGGGGGGUGCAUCCAAAACUGGGAGGCUAGAGUGCAGGAGAGCAAAGCGGAAUUCCUAGUGUAGCGGUGAAAUGCGUAGAUAGUAGGAGGAACACCAGUGGCGAAGGCGGCUUUCUGGACUGUAACUGACACUGAGGCACGAAAGCGUGGGGAGCAAACAGGAUUAGAAACCCGAGUAGUCC